UCUACAUCCAUUACAGUAGGCGUGUGCGUGCCAGUGUGCAUAGUUUGAGCGGCAGAUUGGGUUGGUGGAUAUUGCGUGAACCUUCCCAACCGUGAACCGCGUACGUGCGUCUGUGUGUGUGUGGCCGUUAGAGAAUCGAGAAUGGGAAGCUGUUGCUGUUUUGUGUCAUAUCCGGUGCAACACAUGUACGUGUAAAGUGGCUUUUUGUGCCACUUUUUGUUUAUUACGAAACACGGUCAUCAUGCACUACAACAAAAAACCCAACAAUUUGAAGUGAGAUACGGAGACAUACCGAGAAAAACAAAAAAAAAGACGAUUUCGAGUACUUCGCCGUCAUGUGCACACUUAGCCCUCAACGGCAUAUUUCUCCACACAGUGUGCUGUGAUUAGAUAACCUCCAACCGCACCAAGUGUGUCUAACCAUCAUCGGUGCCAUUUGAGGUGGUGCUUCAAGAGAGGCCCAAACAUGUAAUUACGACAACUUGUUGACCGGCCAAAGGCGUAUAGGAUGCCGAUGCCAUCUCUGCCAGCACCGACCCUUAACUCCAGCUCACGAAAUUGUCCCUUUCUGGAAGUGAUUUGCGCACAAACAAUAUGGCAGCAUUUAGGAUCUAUUUUCACAUUACACGUGACACACCGAUGUUGAGGUACACCAGUCCGGCCGUUUAGUUAUGAGACGCUGCAACUGCGUUGUUGUUAUUCAAAUGUAACUGGUGGGACGUACUUCACCCAACCUUAGUGUGAUCUUUCACAAAAAGCCUGUCUUCCCGAGUGGACGGCUCCCAGUGGUUAACAUAGUGCCGUGGGAAAACAUU